rnacentral:rRNA from 1 species
GAGAACGAACGCUGGCGGCAUGCCUAACACAUGCAAGUCGAACGAGACCUUCGGGUCUAGUGGCGCACGGGUGCGUAACGCGUGGGAAUCUGCCCUUGGGUUCGGAAUAACAGCGAGAAAUUGCUGCUAAUACCGGAUGAUGACGUAAGUCCAAAGAUUUAUCGCCCAAGGAUG